AUUGAACGCUGGCGGCAGGCCUAACACAUGCAAGUCGAACGAGUGGCGGACGGGUGAGUAAUGUCUGGGAAACUGCCUGUUGGAGGGGGAUAACUACUGGAAACGGUAGCUAAUUCCGCAUACUAUCAGUUUUGCCCAGAUGGGAUUAGCUGGUUGGCGGGGUAACGACUAACCAAGGCGACGAUCCCUAGCUGGACUGAGAGGAGGACCAGCAACACUGGAACUGGGACACGGUCCAGACUCCUACGGAGGGCAGCAGUGGGGAAUAUUGCACAAUGGGCGCAAGCCUGAUAAAGCCAUGCCGCGUGUAUGAAGAAGGCCUUCGGGUUUUAAAGUACUUUCAGCGGGGAGGCGUUACCCGCAGAAGAAGCACCGGCUAACUCCGUGCCAGCAGCCGCGGUAAUUC
rnacentral:rRNA from 1 species